CUUGAGCGAGCCGAGCCACAACGGCUCACCACCAGCCCGAUCCUGGCCAUACGUCGCCAGCAGCGCCUGCGCCUC
rfam:Actinoplanes regularis strain DSM 43151 genome assembly, contig: Ga0170398_129